CCUACGGGAGGCAGCAGUAAGGAAUAUUGGACAAUGGGCGCAAGCCUGAUCCAGCCAUGCCGCGUGAAGGAUUAAGGUCCUCUGGAUUGUAAACUUCUUUUAUAGGGGACGAAAAAAGGGCAUUCUUGUUCACUUGACGGUACCCUAUGAAUAAGCACCGGCUAACUCCGUGCCAGCAGCCGCGGUAAUACGGAGGGUGCAAGCGUUAUCCGGAUUCACUGGGUUUAAAGGGUGCGUAGGCGGGCAGGUAAGUCAGUGGUGAAAUCCUAGAGCUUAACUCUAGAACUGCCAUUGAUACUAUCUGUCUUGAAUAUUGUGGAGGUAAGCGGAAUAUGUCAUGUAGCGGUGAAAUGCUUAGAUAUGACAUAGAACACCUAUUGCGAAGGCAGCUUACUACGCAUAUAUUGACGCUGAGGCACGAAAGCGUGGGGAUCAAACAGGAUUAGAUACCCUGGUAGUCCACGCCUAACGAUAGAUACUCGACAUACGCGAUACACUGUGUGUGUNUGAGNGAAGACAUUAAGUAUCCACCGUCGGAAGUACGUCCGCGAGAGAGAAGUUAAAUAGAGUUAGACGGCGUGAGAGNGCCGACGGACGACGACGAGGGGAGGUAGG
rnacentral:rRNA from 1 species